rnacentral:rRNA from 1 species
UACGGAGGAUGCGAGCGUUAUCCGGAUUUAUUGGGUUUAAAGGGUGCGUAGGCGGGCUUUUAAGUCAGCGGUAAAAAUUCGGGGCUCAACCCCGUCCGGCCGUUGAAACUGGGGGCCUUGAGUGCGGCGGAGGCAUGCGGAAUGCGCGGUGUAGCGGUGAAAUGCAUAGAUAUCGCGCAGAACCCCGAUUGCGAAGGCAGCGUGCCGUGCCGCCACUGACGCUGAGGCACGAAAGCGCGGGGAUCGAACAGG